GCCGGGUGCGGUGGCACACACCUGUAAUGCCAGUGGCUCAGGAGGCUGAGGCAGGAGGAUCGCAAGUUCAAAGCUAGUCUCAGCAAAAGUGAGAUGUUAAGCAACUCAGUGAGACCCUGUCUCUA
rnacentral:sRNA from 1 species